rnacentral:rRNA from 1 species
CCCUUAGAUGUUCUGGGCUGCACACGUGCUACACUGGCAGGUUCAGCGAGCUUCAUGCCCUGAUCUGAAAGGAAUGGGAAAUCUUUUCAAAACCUGCCGUGCUUGGGAUAGAUGUUUGCAAUUAUUCAUCUUCAACGAGGAUUGCCUUGUAAGCGCACGUCAUCAGCGUGCAUUGAAUACGACCCUGUAUUCUGUACACACCGCCCGUCGCUCCUACCGAUUGAAGUUUUCGGUGAGUUGACAGGAGGAUUUUUUUGAAACUGGUUCGCCAGUGGAUUUUAGAUCCAAAUGCCAACGAAUCGAUGGCUUUAUAGGAAGGAGAAGUCGUAACA